rnacentral:ncRNA from 1 species
GGAAGUGAGCGUAAAAUCGCGGUCCGGUUGGUAGCCCGGAUGCACGGAAGGCGGAACGGGAGCGGAGCAGCGGCAAGAUAAUUCAUACGGCCGGCUCCGCCGCUUCCCCGCCGUGUCAUAUCCUUCCCCCUCGGGAUGUCCAUCGCUCGUAAGAUCAGA